rnacentral:rRNA from 1 species
UACCAGCACCCCGAGUUGUCGGGACGAUUAUUGGGCCUAAAGCAUCCGUAGCCUGUUCUGCAAGUCCUCCGUUAAAUCCACCUGCUUAACGGAUGGGCUGCGGGGGAUACCGCAGAGCUAGGAGGCGGGAGAGGCAAACGGUACUCAGUGGGUAGGGGUAAAAUCCAUUGAUCUACUGAAGACCACCAGUGGCGAAGGCGGGUCUCUGGACAGUUCCUGACACUGAGGCACGAAGGCCAGGGGAGCAAACGGG